GACAGAGGUGCCGAGCGUUAGGCGGAAUCACUGGGCUUAAAGCGUGUGUAGGCGGAUGGGUAAGUACCUUGUGAAAUCCCACGGCUCAACCGUGGAACUGCUCGGUAUACUGCUCGUCUUGAGCCAACUAGGGGCGACCGGAACAAACGGUGGAGCGGUGAAAUGCGUAGAUAUCGUUUGGAACGCCGAUGGUGAAAACAGGUCGCUGGGGUUGUGCUGACGCUGGAGACACGAAAGCCAGGGGAGCGAACGGG
rnacentral:rRNA from 1 species